AUACUUACCUGGACGGGGUCAAUGGAUGAUCAUGAAGGCCCAUGGCUUAGGUUGGUGACCUUCAUUGCACUUUGAAGGGGCGCCUGCCUAAGGUCGGCCCAAGUGGUCGAGCCUACGUCAUAAUUUGUUGUUGAAGGGGCCUGCGUUCGCGCGACCCCUAC